rnacentral:rRNA from 1 species
CAUUGUGUAUAUGCUACCCUGAACAUGCCCGAUCUUGUCUGAUCUCAGAAGCUAAGCAGGGUUGGGCCUGGUUAGUACUUGGAUGGGAAACCACAAGUUAUUAUUUGUUUAUCUGAAAU